CCUACGGGAGGCAGCAGUGGGGAAUAUUGCGCAAUGGGCGAAAGCCUGACGCAGCGACGCCGCGUGAGGGAUGAAGGUCUUCGGAUCGUAAACCUCUAUCAGCAGGGAAGAACGGUCACUGUGCUAAUCAGCAGUGAAUUGACGGUACCUGCAAAGCAAGCACCGGCUAACUCCGUGCCAGCAGCCGCGGUAGUACGGAGGGGGCGAGCGUUAAUCGGAAUUACUGGGCGUAAAGGGAUCGUAGGCGGCAGGUCAAGUCAAGGGUGAAAUCCCCGCGCUCAACGGGGGAACUGCCUUUGAAACUGGCAAACUGGAGUGCGGGAGAGGAUAGUGGAAUUCCAGGUGUAGGAGUGAAAUGCGUAGAUAUCUGGAGGAACACCAGCGGCGAAGGCGACUAUCUGGCACAUAACUGACGCUGAGGAGCGAAAGCGUGGGUAGCAAACAGGAUUAGAUACCCUAGUAGUC
rnacentral:rRNA from 1 species